rnacentral:rRNA from 1 species
CUACUCUCGGCAACGGAUAUCUUAUCUCUCGCAUUGAUGAAAAACGUAGCGAAAUGCGAUACUUGGUGUGAAUUCCAAAAUCCUGUGAACCAUUGAGUCUUUCAACACAAGUUGCGCCUGAGGCCACUCAGCCGAGGGCACGCCUGCCU